UUACCCACUCCCGGCACGGGGAGGUAGUGACGAAAAAUAACGAUACGGGACUCAUCCGAGGCCCCGUAAUCGGAAUGAGUACACUCUAAACCCUUUAACGAGGAUCAAUUGGAGGGCAAGUCUGGUGCCAGCAGCCGCGGUAAUUCCAGCUCCAAUAGCGUAUAUUAAAGUUGUUGCGGUUAAAAAGCUCGUAGUCGAAUUUGUGUCUCGUGCCGCCGGUUCAUCGUUCGCGGUGUUAACUGGCGAGUCGCGAGACNUCCUGCCGGUGGGCUUAGNUCUCGCAAGGGGGCGGCCCAACUCAAUCCUGCCGCGGUGCUCUUCACUGAGUGUCGAGGUGGGCCGGCACGUUUACUUUGAACAAAUUAGAGUGCUUAAAGCAGGCUAAAAUUUCGCCUGAAUACUGUGUGCAUGGAAUAAUGGAAUAGGACCUCGGUUCUAUUUUGUUGGUUUUCGGAACCCCGAGGUAAUGAUUAAUAGGAACGGAUGGGGGCAUUCGUAUUGCGACGUUAGAGGUGAAAUUCUUGGAUCGUCGCAAGANNGACAGAAGCGAAAGCAUUUGCCAAAAACGCUUUCAUUGAUCAAGAACGAAAGUUAGAGGUUCGAAGGCGAUCAGAUACCGCCCUAGUUCUAACCAUAAACGAUGCCAGCUAGCGAUCCGUCGACGUUCCUCCGAUGACUCGACGGGCAGCUUCCGGGAAACCAAAGCUUUUGGGUUCCGGGGGAAGUAUGGUUGCAAAGCUGAAACUUAAAGGAAUUGACGGAAGGGCACCACCAGGAGUGGAGCCUGCGGCUUAAUUUGACUCAACACGGGAAACCUCACCAGGCCCGGACACUGGAAGGAUUGACAGAUUGAGAGCUCUUUCUUGAUUCGGUGGGUGGUGGUGCAUGGCCGUUCUUAGUUGGUGGAGCGAUUUGUCUGGUUAAUUCCGAUAACGAACGAGACUCUAGCCUGCUAACUAGGCGNANUUUGACAUCCUAAAGGCCCGCCGGCUUGGGG
rnacentral:rRNA from 1 species